GACGAACGCUGGCGGCGUGCCUAAUACAUGCAAGUCGAGCGCAGGAAAUCGACGGAACCCUUCGGGGGGAAGUCGACGGAAUGAGCGGCGGACGGGUGAGUAACACGUAAAGAACCUGCCCUCAGGUCUGGGAUAACCACGAGAAAUCGGGGCUAAUACCGGAUGGGUCAUCGGACCGCAUGGUCCGAGGAUGAAAGGCGCUUCGGCGUCGCCUGGGGAUGGCUUUGCGGUGCAUUAGCUAGUUGGUGGGGUAAUGGCCCACCAAGGCGACGAUGCAUAGCCGGCCUGAGAGGGUGAUCGGCCACACUGGGACUGAGACACGGCCCAGACUCCUAAGGGAGGCAGCAGUAGGGAAGCUUCCACAAUGGACGAAAGUCUGAUGGAGCAACGCCGCGUGAACGAUGAAGGCCUUCGGGUCGUAAAGUUCUGUUGUAAGGGAAGAACAAGUGCCGCAGGCAAUGGCGGCACCUUGACGGUACCUUGCGAGAAAGCCACGGCUAACUACGUGCCAGCCGCCGCGGUAA
rnacentral:rRNA from 1 species